CCUACGGGUGGCAGCAGUGAGGAAUAUUGGUCAAUGGGCGCGAGCCUGAACCAGCCAAGUCGCGUGAAGGAAGACUGCCCUACGGGUUGUAAACUUCUUUUAUAAAGGAAUAAAGUGAGGCACGUGUGCCCUUUUGUAUGUACUUUAUGAAUAAGGAUCGGCUAACUCCGUGCCAGCAGCCGCGGUAAUACGGAGGAUCCGAGCGUUAUCCGGAUUUAUUGGGUUUAAAGGGUGCGUAGAUGGGUUGUUAAGUUAGUUGUGAAAGUUUGGGGCUCAACCGUAAAAGUGCAAUUGAUACUGGCAGGCUAGAGUAUAGUUGAGGUAGGCGGAAUUCGUGGUGUAGCGGUGAAAUGCUUAGAUAUCACGAAGAACACCGAUUGCGAAGGCAGCUUACUAAGCUGCUACUGACAUUGAUGCUCGAAAGUGUGGGUAUCAAACAGGAUUAGAUACCCGAGUAGUC
rnacentral:rRNA from 1 species